rnacentral:tRNA from 1 species
GCGGCGGUAGGAUAAUUUCCCCUCGCCCUCCCGCGACGGGAGGGUCGACGUUCGAGUCAUUUCCGCCACA